rnacentral:rRNA from 1 species
AUUGAACGCUGGCGGCAUGCUUUACACAUGCAAGUCGAACGGCAGCGCGGGCUUCGGCCUGGCGGCGAGUGGCGAACGGGUGAGUAAUACAUCGGAACGUGCCCAGUAGUGGGGGAUAGCUCGGCGAAAGCCGGAUUAAUACCGCAUACGACCUGAGGGUGAAAGCGGGGGAUCUUCGGUCCUCGCGCUAUUGGAGCGGCCGAUGGCAGAUUAGCUAGUUGGUGGGGUAAAGGCCUACCAAGGCGACGAUCUGUAGCUGGUCUGAGAGGACGACCAGCCACACUGGGACUGAGACACGGCCCAGACUCCUACGGGAGGCAGCAGUGGGGAAUUUUGGACAAUGGGCGAAAGCCUGAUCCAGCAAUGCCGCGUGUGUGAUGAAGGCCUUCGGGUUGUAAAGCACUUUUGGCGGGAACGAAAGGGACUGUGCCAAUACCACGGUUCGAUGACGGUACCCGCAGAAUAAGCACCGGCUAACUACGUG